rnacentral:lncRNA from 1 species
GACCUAUCCUUUGUUGUCUCUAACCUUGCGAUGCCUCAUCAUCAUUAUCCAUCUAUUGUAACUCUCGAAUGGUGGUGACAAUGGUGAGUGUGUGUCUCCAAGUGUGGCAUCCUCAAAUGGACAACUACAAGUGAGAGUAUAGAGAAGAUUGGACAUUAGAUUUCUCUAGCAUCAAUCUACAACAAUUGAUGAGGGAAAUGACUCUAGUGAAUAGAAAGGAAAGGGAGCAGAAGUUGUUGGAAUUAAUUGAAAUAGUGAUUUUUAUCCUUUUCUCUUCAUUCAUGAUCCAUGUAGUUCAUUUCAUGUCUUGGUGUUUCCAUUAAUUAAACCCUCU